GGCGAUAAGGAUCCAGCAGAAUGGGAUGACGGUGAAUCCUGCUAGUGUGCUGUGAAUGUGAAGCAGGAGGGACUGGCAGUUUGUGUGCAGGAGAGAAAGCAACUCAGUCCAGGGCCCCUGAAUUAGCAGACUAAGGAAAGGAGAGAAAGAAAAUACAGCUGAAAAACUGAGGUAUAUAUCUCCACCAGGAUUUCAAGGGGGAAAGCCUGUCUGGCUGGACUGCAAGGAGGUACCUACACACACAGAAACAUUCCCCAGGACUGGUGACACUGUUGUUCAGCCCUACUCUUGCUGAGAAGGUUUCCACACAACGCUGCAACAAUGAAUUUCCUCCGGCGGCGUCUCUCGGACAGUAGUUUCGUGGCAAAUUUGCCCAAUGGGUACAUGAUGGACUUGCAGCGCCCUGACAGCUCCACGAGCUCCCCGGUUUCUCCUGCUAUGGAGAGAAAGCAUCCUCAGCCACCGCAGCCCACGCACUCCUCCUCUACUGGCGCCAGCAUCUUCAGCUCCAUCUCCAGUGCCAUGAAGCAAACCACUCAAGCGGCUGCAGGACUGAUUGAUCACUCAGCCAGCCCCACACCUCCUGUGGCACAGAAACCCAAGAUCCUCCUAGUGAUUGAUGAUGCGCACACAGAGUGGGCCAAAUAUUUCCAGGGGAAGAAGGUGAAUGGAGAAUUUGAUAUCCGAGUGGAACAGGCUGAGUUCUCCGAGCUGAACCUGGCUGCUUAUGUCACAGGCGGCUGCAUGGUGGACAUGCAGGUCUUGAGGAACAGCACCAAGGUGGUAAGAUCUUUCAAGCCGGACUUUGUCCUGAUUCGGCAGCAUGCCUAUAGCAUGGCGCUGGGAGAGGACUUCCGCAGCCUCAUUAUUGGCCUCCAGUAUGGUGGCAUCCACACGGUCAACUCCCUCUACUCCAUCUACAACUUCUGCAGCAAGCCCUGGGUGUUCUCCCAGCUCAUCAAAAUCUUCAACUCGCUGGGUCCUGAGAAGUUUCCCCUUGUGGACCAAACAUUCUUCCCAAGCCAUAAGCAGAUGCUCACAACUCCAAACUUCCCUGUAGUGGUCAAACUGGGACAUGCUCAUGCUGGAAUGGGAAAGGUCAAAGUUGAGAACCAGCACGACUUCCGGGACAUGGCCAGCAUAGUAGCCAUGGCAAAAACCUACGCCACCACUGAGCCAUUCAUUGACUCCAAGUAUGACAUCCGAAUCCAGAAAAUCGGCAGCAACUACAAGGCUUACAUGAGGACAUCCAUCUCUGGAAACUGGAAAGCAAACACAGGGUCUGCAAUGCUAGAACAGAUUGCAAUGACAGAGAGGUACAGACUCUGGGCAGACGCCUGUGCAGAAAUGUUUGGAGGUCUUGACAUCUGUGCUGUCAAAGCCGUCCACAGCAAAGAUGGAAAAGACUAUAUCAUUGAGGUGAUGGACAGCUCGAUGCCCCUGAUUGGGGAGCAUGUGGAAGAGGACAGACAACUUAUAGCUGAUCUGGUUGUUUCCAAAAUGACUCAGCUUGUCACCACUGCUGGAUCUACGCCGUCACCACUGAGGCCUUGGCCUCCACAAGUUCAGCCUGCACCAAUGAAACCUCAGACUGGACCUCAGCUUGGACAACUGUCCCAACCACGGCCCCCUCCUCAAGGUGGCCCCCGCCAGCCUCAGGGAUCUCAGCCUCCACGGACAAACGCACCUCCACAGCAGCGGCUCUCCCCUCAAGGACAGCAGCCCCAGAGCCCCCAGUCCACUUCCCCUCAGCAGCAAAGGUCACCUGGAUCUCCACAGCAAGUCCGAUCAGCAACUGGGUCCUCUCCAGUCCAGGCUCCCAAGGCAGGCGUGUUCCCUCCGCAGCAGCCUAGACCUCCUGCUCAAGGCCGUGCUCCUAGCCAGCCAAGCCCCACUGAAACGUCCAAGCAGCAACCCACUCCUCACCCACAUCUGAACAAAUCGCAGUCCCUGACAAACACCUUCAGCAUACCUGAAUCAUCUCAGCGGGGAAACGCCAAUGAAGAUGAAGCAAAAGCCGAGACCAUCCGAAACCUGAGGAAAUCAUUUGCUAGCCUGUUUUCUGAUUAACAGCCCUGCAGCUGAUCCGUGCUUCUGCCCGCCCUCACUCUUCAUAUCAGCGUACCUGAUGUCACCCUGCAAUACUCUCAGUGGUACCCAGCGACUUACAACUAACAUCUGGGUUUGCUAAGCAUCUUACAGUAUAGCAUCAUAAAUACAUGUCACUGAGAAAAAAAAACAGACCCUGCUGUUUUGCAGUCUCCAGGAGCAAUAAAAGAGUGACAAAUGGCCUUGAGCAGGCACUGUCCCACUGGUAAAAACAAUAGCAGAUUAACAGGCUCCACUAUAUGCAGAGGAGGUAAUACAAGCCUGAUGGGAGAGGAUUUCCUUCUGUAACACUUCCCUCAGCAUGAUUUAUGCCUUUUGCCACUAAACAGUCACCAGAUAUAAAGACAGAAAUAAAAGUUUACUGCCAGAAUACUACUCAACUGCUCUAUCCCCUGGAUCUUUUUAUGUCUCUCUCACAAACACAACCUAGACAAAAAAAUAAGUAACCAGUGACUAGUAUGGCACAGCCCCAUAAAUUGACCCUAGUUCAUCACCAAAACCACAAUAGUUGGAUCAUUUGCUGAUGCUGCAUUUCAACACACCAGCAGUGUUCUCCAACAGACCACAGUUACAGGAUAGCACGGUUGACUUCAUACCCAGCAGUGGCUCAAAUCUCUUCAUUUGCUUUCAGCUUCCAGCUGUCAUCUUUCUAGGAAGAAGCAAACAGAAUGGCAUCAUCCCUCCUCCGAGCUCCACCUUGCAAAAAACAGUGAGAGCAACAGGCACUUUCAGCUUAGGUUGGUUACUCCUAUAGAUCCUGAAAAGCAACUUCAGUUCUAGCCACAGAAAGUGCUCUAAUGGAAGCAUUGAGUCAAUUUUCCAAGUCAAAAUGCUGAAAUUCUAUACCGUGUUCUGUAAGUGUUCCAACAGUACACUUCAAUCUACAACUAGAUUUUGUGGCUAGCAGGAGAUUCACAAAUGCAUCAUCACGUAUUUGUGUUAUACCCUUUAAGGCAGGGUUCCCAUUCUAAAACCCCUACAGUCUAACAAAGCAAGAGAGGGAGGAAUAAAAAGGGUAUCUUUUAUAUGAAUGGGGAACUAAAGUCUACCCAAGAGGUAUUUCAGGCACUUAAAUAGAACAGCUGGAGUUAGGGGGCAAUAAGAAGGCAACAGGAAAGUCAAUGAAUAGAAGUUGCAUUUAAAUAGCAGGGCCGUCAAUGCCCCAGAACAUGCCUUGGGAUCUCACACAGCUGUAAAAAUGGAGCAUCUGGUCAGAGCUUCCCUUUUGUCCUGCAUGCCUCAAUUUUCUCCACCUGGGAGCCAGGAAACAAUAAUAAUUUGUUUGGAUCCAGCCCAAGGAGCUGGAUCCACCUGAAAAUCAGUUUCUGUUUUGCUGUUUAGAUACAGCCUGAGACGCAUCUUAACUUUCUUGUAAUAUCUAGGUGUGGUAUUUCAAGAGGAAUGUCAUAGAUUCCCAUGAGACUACAAGUCUUGUAUAAAGCCAAGGUUCAGAAGAACAGCAGUCCUGCUCAUAACUGCAAUGCUAUUUCCCCCUUUCACUAUCGACAGGCAGGUAUGCAAGACCUUACACCCCACGUAAGAACAUGUUAUACCAUCUAGUUGGUUUAAGUUUCUUGAAUAAGCUAAAA